rnacentral:tRNA from 1 species
AGCGGGAUGGAGCAGCGGCAGCUCGGCUGGCUCAUACCCAGCAGGUCGCCGGUUCGAAUCCGGCUCCCGCGA